UCGGGUUCGGCGGUCAUGGCGAAUUUCGGCAAAGAUUUUACCCCAGUGAAAAAGGCUUGUAAUCCACCGUUCCUCAACCUGGAAGAUAUGUUUUGUUCCUAACCAUCUAUAUUCCAUUCUCUAAGUGAAGUGAAGCCUGGGUGCUGGUCUUCCUUUGGGGAAAUACACAGGGAAAGAAGAAAAACUACUUGAGUGUUUCUACUGCCUCCCCCCAGAGAUCUGCUUAUGAGUGCAUGAGAUUACAGAGAACAUUCAUCUCCGGUUUAAAACAGAGUAUGACAGAUAAAAAGGUAUUUUUUUCUUCUUUAUUUUUUACAUCACAUGAAAACAUACAAUUAAUGAUGAUGAUGAAGAAUGUACACAUGUUUUUCAUAAGUGUGUACAAAUUGUUCAAUAUAAUGUCUAUUAUGAAUCCAAUUUCCUUGGGCUAGUCCACAGGCAAU